rnacentral:rRNA from 1 species
CGGGGGGGCAAGCGUUGUUCGGAAUUACUGGGCGUAAAGGGCCAGUAGGCGGCCAACUAAGUCCGACGUGAAAUCCCCAGGCUUAACCUGGGAACUGCGUCGGAUACUGGAUGGCUUGAAUUCGGGAGAGGGAUGCAGAAUUCCAGGUGUAGCGGUGAAAUGCGUAGAUAUCUGGAGGAAUACCGGUGGCGAAGGCGGCAUCCUGGACCGACAUUGACGCUGAACGGCGAAAGCUAGGGGAGCAAACGGGAUUAGAUACCCCGGUAGUCCUAGCCCUAAACGAUGAAUGCUUGGUGUGGCGGGUAUCGAUCCCUGCCGUGCCGAAGCUAACGCAUUAAGCAUUCCGCCUGGGGAGUACGGUCGCAAGGCUG